rnacentral:rRNA from 1 species
CAUACCUUGAAGUGGGGGACAACAGUUGGAAACGACUGCUAAUACCGCAUAAUCCCUGAGGGGGAAAGAUUUAUCGCUUUAAGAUUGGCCCGCGGAAGAUUAGGUAGUUGGUGGGGUAAAGGCCUACCAAGCCGACGAUCUAUAGCUGGUCUGAGAGGACGAACAGCCACAUUGGAACUGAGACACGGUCCAGACUCCUACGGGAGGCAGCAGUGAGGAAUAUUGGGCAAUGGAGGAAACUCUGACCCAGCCAUGCCGCGUGAGUGAAGAAGGUUUUCGAAUUGUAAAGCUCUUUCGGAUGGGACGAUGAUGACGGUACCAUCUAAAGAAGCCCCGGCAAACUUCGUGCCAGCAGCCGCGGUAAUACGAAGGGGGCAAGCGUUGUUCGGAAUUACUGGGCGUAAAGGGUGUGUAGGCGGAUUUGUAAGAUAGUGGUGAAAUACCUGAGCUCAACUUAGGAAUUGCCAUUAUAACUAUAGAUCUGAAGUGACAGAGAGGAUAUUGGAAUACCCAGUGUAGAGGUGAAAUUCGUAGAUAUUGGGUAGAACACCAGUGGCGAAGGCGAGUAUCUGGCUGUCAACUGACGCUGAGGCACGAAAGCAUGGGGAUCAAACAGGAUUAGAUACCCUGGUAGUCCAUGCUGUAAACGAUGAAUGCUAGUUGUCGGCAAAAGCCGGUGACGCAG